UACGGGGGGGGUAAGCGUUGUUCGGAAUUACUGGGCGUAAAGGGCUCGUAGGCGGCCAACUAAGUCAGACGUGAAAUCCCUCAGCUUAACUGGGGAACUGCGUCUGAUACUGGAUGGCUUGGAUUCGGGAGAGGAAUGCGGAAUUCCAGGUGUAGCGGUGAAAUGCGUAGAUAUCUGGAGGAACACCGGUGGCGAAAGCGGCUACCUGGCCCAUUCUUGACGCUGAGGCGCGAAAGCUAGGGGAGCAAACGGG
rnacentral:rRNA from 1 species